GGCUGUAUAGCUCAAUGCACAAGAGCGUCGCCCGCUUAAGGCGAAGACUGUGAGUAAAAAUCUCACAACAGCCA
rnacentral:tRNA from 1 species